rnacentral:rRNA from 1 species
AGUGAACGCUGGCGGCGUGCUUAACACAUGCAAGUCGAACGAGAACGGAUUAUAGCUUGCUAUAAUUGUCAGCUAAGUGGCGCACGGGUGAGUAAUGUAUAGGUAAUAUGCCUCUUACUAAGGGAUAACAAAUGGAAACGUUUGCUAAUACCUUAUACUCCUUAUUAACAGGAGUUAAUAAGGGAAAGAUUUAUUGGUAAGAGAUUAGCCUGUAUUGUAUCAGUUAGUUGGUGGGGUAAUGGCUUACCAAGACUAUGACACAUAACUGGUUUGAGAGGAUGAUCAGUCACACUGGAACUGCGACACGGUCCAGACUCCUACGGGAGGCAGCAGUGGGGAAUAUUGCACAAUGGACGAAAGUCUGAUGCAGCAACGCCGCGUGGAGGAUGACACAUUUCGGUGCGUAAACUCCUUUUAUAUGAGAAGAUAAUGACGGUAUUAUAUGAAUAAGCACCGGCUAACUCCGUGCCAGCAGCCGCCGUAAUAC